rnacentral:rRNA from 1 species
AUUGAACGCUGGCGGCAGGCCUAACACAUGCAAGUCGAGCGGAUGAAGGGAGCUUGCUCCUGGAUUCAGCGGCGGACGGGUGAGUAAUGCCUAUGAAUCUGCCUGGUAGUGGGGGAUAACGUCCGGAAACGGGCGCUAAUACCGCAUACGUCCUGAGGGAGAAAGUGGGGGAUCUUCGGACCUCACGCUAUCAGAUGAGCCUAGGUCGGAUUAGCUAGUUGGUGGGGUAAAGGCCUACCAAGGCGACGAUCCGUAACUGGUCUGAGAGGAUGAUCAGUCACACUGGAACUGAGACACGGUCCAGACUCCUACGGGAGGCAGCAGUGGGGAAUAUUGGACAAUGGGCGAAAGCCUGAUCCAGCCGUGCCGCGUGUGUGAAGAAGGUCUUCGGAUUGUAAAGCACUUUAAGUUGGGAGGAAGGGCAGUAAGUUAAUACCUUGCUGUUUUGACGUUACCAACAGAAUAAGCACCGGCUAACUUCGUG